rnacentral:sRNA from 1 species
GAAAUUUGUGGCACAUAUAGGAUGAGAACCUGUUUUUAAAACAUAUAGGUUCGAGCCGAGCGUAGCGAGAAAACAUCGGAGCCUGCGACGAUGGCCUGAAGGGCAAGCGCACAGCGCGCAGUAAUCCUAUACGACGCCCAA